UACAGAGGGGGCAAGCGUUGUUCGGAAUUACUGGGCGUAAAGGGCGCGUAGGCGGCCCGCUAAGUCGAACGUGAAAUCCCCGGGCUCAACCCGGGAACUGCGUCCGAUACUGGUGGGCUUGAAUCCGGGAGAGGGAUGCGGAAUUCCAGGUGUAGCGGUGAAAUGCUUAGAUAUGACAUAGAACACCUAUUGCGAAGGCAGCAGGCUACACAUAUAUUGACGCUGAGGCACGAAAGCGUGGGGAUCAAACAGG
rnacentral:rRNA from 1 species